rnacentral:rRNA from 1 species
CCUACGGGAGGCAGCAGUGAGGAAUAUUGGUCAAUGGACGAGAGUCUGAACCAGCCAAGUAGCGUGAAGGAUGACUGCCCUAUGGGUUGUAAACUUCUUUUAUAAAGGAAUAAAACGAGGCACGUGUGCCUUUUUGCAUGUACUUUAUGAAUAAGGAUCGGCUAACUCCGUGCCAGCAGCCGCGGUAAUCCGGAGGAUCCGAGCGUUAUCCGGAUUGAUUGGGUUUAAAGGGAGCGUAGAUGGGUUGUUAAGUCAGUUGUGAAAGUUUGCGGCUCAACCGUAAGAUUGCAAUUGAUACUGGCAGUCUUGAGUACAGUUGAGGUAGGCGGAAUUCGUGGUGUAGCGGUGAAAUGCUUAGAUAUCACGAAGAACCCCGAUUGCGAAGGCAGCUUACUAAACUGUGACUGACAUUGAUGCUCGAAAGUGUGGGUAUCAAACAGGAUUAGAUACCCUUGUAGUC